CAGCAGCUCCCAUCCUUUUAUUUUUUAGGACAUUACAUCAUCCUCCUGGAUCUAAAACGUAAAAUGAAAUAACUUCUACAUAAAAUCCCUAUAGAAGAGAACCAUAAUAAAAUACAGCAUGUACUUAAUCAUACGGAAUUUUCAGAUAAAAAAGAAAGCUUUUUCCACCACUAGCAGGUUCCCAAUGGAUCAAAGUGAAAUUCCAGAGGCAGGUCAUUUUUGGUUUUAAAUGGAUUCUGGAGCACAGCAUUUGUAACAACCUGCUUGCUUUCUGUUAGUUUGAACUUACAUUGUUUCGAAAAGUGUAUGUUUCUGUAUUAGCAGGAUUCCAAUUUCUAUUUCUUUCCAAAUCACACAUAAACAGGGUUUAUUUCAAAUAACUGACUGUGCUGCCUGGUUUAGAGGAAUUCUGGACAUCUUUAUUGCUUUAAAAAGUAAUGUAGCUUCGUAUUGUCAGUGUUAAUAAAGCAAAGCUAUGUUUAGUUUGAAUUACUUUUCCUUCAAAAGAAGGAAGGAAGAGAAGGAAUUCUUUGAGGAUGAAGGAAUUCUUCAUCUCUCACUGAAGAGGUUUUUUGUUUAAAUUAAUUGGUCCUCUACCAAUAGCAUAUACAAAUCUUCAAUAUUUGUCUGUUUUCCAAUUUUUCUUUUAGAGCCCAUGAAUACCAGAUACUUUAAUUACUUUUUUCUGCCCCCAUUACUCAGAAACCACUACAAACCAUCACCAAGCACCUCCUUUUGUCUGCAUUGCACAAAUGCAGCACUAACAUAAGCAGGAUGGCUGUGAGAUGAAUCAUAACUUCACCAUGACCUGGCAAGUACCUUAAAGCGUCUCAGUCUUGACACAGCCUGACUUCCCUCUCAUGUCCUAAGAACUCUGUUUGUAAAGAAUAUUGGAGAAUUCAGUGAACUAAUGCAGUAUACAGCCAGUUGUAAUUAUUACUCCAUUAGCAGAACCCACAUGUUCUCUCUCAUGUUAAAAUAGUUUUGAUUUCAUGUUUAAAUAAUAACUCUGUGUUUCUGAGGAAUGAACUCACAACUCUCAACAUUCCAGGCUAAUUUAGCUUAUUUCUCUACAGAAUCUUUGUCAAAAAUAUGAACAUAAAAAAACCAACUAAGACAGUAAGGUGUAAUUGAUCCUAUAAUAUGUGGACAAAGAAACAAAAA
rnacentral:lncRNA from 1 species